UUUUUUUUUUUUUUUUUUUUUUUUCUUUUUAGGGCUGCUCCUAUGGCAUAUGGAAGUUCUCAGGCUGGGGUCAAACUGGAGCUCCAGCUGCCAGCCUGCCACAGCAAAGCAGGAUCCAAGCCACGUCUGCAGCCUAUGCUGCAGCCUGGGGCCACCCCGGAUCCUUAAUCCACUGACUGAGGCCAGGGACUGAACUCAUCCUCACGGAUAUUAGCCGGGUUCUUAACCUGCCGAGCCGCAACGGGAAUGCCCAGAUUUCUUUUACUGUCACUUUCUACAUCUCUGCAUUUAUAAUUAAGGAGCCCCUCUUAUUUCUGUUGCCGUGCAUUUUCUUUUCCUCUUUGGGGGGCUGUGCCCAGGGCGGAUGGAAGUUCCCCAGGCCAGGGAUGCAAUGUGCACCACAGCAGUGACCCGAGCUACUCCAGUGCCAAUGCUGGAUCCUUACCCCACGGCGCUACAAGGAAGCGCCUGCUUUGCAUUUUUAUUCAUUUUUUUUCUUGAACAGACUUGAUACAGAUUUAUCCACGUUAUUGGUCUUUAACAAGAAAUUAGCUUUUGCUUUUGCUUUUGUUGAGCAAGACUACUGUCUGCGUUCCAUUUCCCUGACUGCCGUCACUUCAGCAGCAUUUUGGGGCGAGGAGAGAGAAGUGAACAUACUCAGCAAACCACCUUGAACCAUGGCAACGUGGCAGCCCAGCUGAGUGGAUCAGGUAAAUUGAAGACCGGCUUGUCACCAUAAGCCCACCAGCAUGCUGCCAUGUGACGCUGGGACAGAAGGCUCUACUGGUGCGUGCUGACACAUUUCCAUUACCAGAGCUUAAACAUCUGUCUGGCAACACGUGCCGUCUUUGGGGUUUCGCAUUACAAGGGCUCCUCCCGCCAUGGGCCUUGGCCUGCAGUACAGCACGUCGUGGUUCUUGAAGGUGUGUAAGCGCUAUUCGGACUUAGGAUUUCAGAUCAAAGUAGGAGAAAACGGCCUGCAGAAUAAAGCGCUCACCACAGAAGAGGUGAGGCGCUCACAGGCUCCGGGUCCUCUCCUCCGUUUGUUAGGGAGCAGGCCACCCUCCUCCAGGGGGGACUCCGGGAAUUCCAGGUCCCGGGGGCGUCGCGUGGAGAAGGACGGACGGGGCAGAGCUAGACCAACCUGUAUCAGAAGUGCCCUCAAGUGUGACCUUGAGCCAAUCCCUUCAUCCGCUUGGCCUGAAUUCUUCAUUUGCAAGGUGGUGACAACGCCGCCGUUCUGCCCGCAGAGCGCUCCUGGGGAUCGGGAUAAACCACCUCACCCCCCCGACCAGCGACGCUGCCGCCCGGAUGCCCUGCGCACUCGUUCCCCAGGGCAAGGUCUGAGGUACAGAUGCGGAGCUGGCACUGGACCAACGGCUGUUGUCGAGGACACACUAAUGGCGGCUUCGAGUUUAAAUUUUUCCUUGGUUGCCCUUUUGGUCCUUUCUGGGGUCAUCACCAGUUAUAUUCCUGGAGACUGGACUACACAGCAGGUACCGAAGUGAGUAGGACGUUCGGGUUAUUUAACGCGCAUAUAAUCCGAUUUGCUAGAUGCUACUGUCAUGCCCUGCGUACAAGUGGAGGGACUGAGGCUUGAAAUAACUUGCCUGGACCUCACAGCCAUUACGUAGAAGAAUCGGGACUCCCAUCUGAGUCUGACUCAUACUCUCAAUUAUGUGACGUUAACUACACAUGCAGCGCAAAGGGGGGACAUGCCACAUGUGCAGGCACCAAAGCCAGAGAAAUCAAUGUGGAAGGAGCCAGAAAAGGGAAAAACGGAUGGUGAGAAUGUGGACGCCUGAGGAGGCCUUCGCAGACCAAUUAAACAGGAUCCAUAAAAUAACACUGUGUGUAAAAGGUAACAGUUUAUUGGUAGCAACUUACGAGAGACAAAUGAUCAAAGUGUAACCUAAGAUAAAAUGAACCAGGUGCUACAAAGUCCAGAAACUUCGAUGACCUGAAAGAAAUUCAGACACACAGGAAACAGCUCCAAGAGGGACAGAAGCAGCAAAUGAAAAGAUUAAAACAAUGACUACGAUUUGAUCCAAUGGUUCCCAAAUUCGUCCCCCCCCCCCAACGGCUCUCCUUUUAGUAUCUGAGUUAAGUUACACUUACGUCAUAGUCACAAAAGAAAGCGCUCAAAGCCUCUUCCCGAAGCCACCAGAUCAUGGACGCCAGUCCCGACCCGCCGUCACUGCCUGGGACCAUCCGGGCGCUGGCCAGUCUCUCCCGCCUCCCACUGAGGGGGAGAGGCCUUGGCGCACCUGGCAGGGAGGCACCCGGUCCCCCCGCCUCGCCAGGGCUCUGUGAUCAGCACGUCAGCUGGGCGAACGGACCUCCUCUCAGGCCUCACGUGGACAUGCUUGCUUGCUUCCUAAGAGGGAACGUUACCUCGGACGUCCCGGCUAUCGGGCUGGUCCUCGUGCCAGAGUAAAGUUAAAGCGCCAAAAAACCGGUUCACGGGAGUAAAAAGUAUUUACUGCUACUCAGUCUACUCGUCGCACCAUCCUGGAGAGCUGGCACAUGUGAAGCUUUGCGUGCCCUCCUCCCAGAGCUCCCACAACGGCCAAGAGACAUGAAUAAAUGUUUCUUCUUAACGGCACCGUCAACUACGUGGGAUCACGAGAUAACAUGUGAAGGCCUUUCCGGGGCUUCCAGAAAGUCACUGUUCCCAAGGAAUGACAUUUAGGCUGAGACCUGGAGAAAACGAGCAGGUGGCCAAGAGGACAGGGAAGAACCCAGGGUGAGGGAACAGCCUGUGUGACGUCUAGACAGCACGGAGGCGGCAGAGGGAGGAGCCAGUGCAGCACGUCCGGGAACAGAGCAAGAAGUCUCGGCUCCGGCCUAAAGGCAGAGGAAAGUCAGAGAGGCUUUUAAACGUGGAAGUGACAAGAUUAGGGAACAGGGUUUGUUUAUCUGGUUUUUGGCCUCCCCGUGGCAAACGGCGUUCCCGAGCCGGGGAUCAGAUCAGACCGAAGCCGUAGCUGUGGCAACGCCAGAUGCUUAACCUGCUACGCCAGGGCGGGGGAGCGAGUCUGCGUCCCAGUGCUCCAGAGAUGCUGCCAGUCCUGUUGUGCCACAGUGGGAGCUCCUAGGUCCAUGUUCUUAGAAACUGUGUCUGACUGCAGCUGAAGCUGACGGGAGGGGCCCGAGUAGGUGCUGGAGAGGUCAGACUGUUUAAUAGUCAAGAGAAAGAUGACGAUGGCCUGGCCUGGAGCGAGGACAGAAGUGACAGAGACACGUGGGUACUUAGCAGGUGACAGUGAGAGGACUGCAAACGUGCAUGCGGGAGAGGGAGCGAGCCAGAGCCAAACGUCAUUUGUGUUAAACUACAAAACAAAUCAAACAACCAGGGGACGUGGUACCAGGGGACGUGGUACUACUGAAGCGGGGGGGGGGACGACAGAGCAGAGAGACGGGGAGCGGCUCAGGCAGAGACAUCCAACAGGCGCCCCAACACUCGAGAGAUCUGGCUGCAAAUAUCUACCGGGCGUCACUAGUUAUCGAAGCAUCGUGUACCCACACCCUGGGCGACAGGCGGGGAGGCUGCCCAGGGUGAGGGUCCCAGAGGGCAAGACAAGGGGACUUCAGAUGGGCCGGGAGCAAGUCCAACAGCCGCUGUUGAGAAAGGAGGGCAGGCGUGUGGCACGUGUGUUUGACGCUGCUAAAUCUCCUACUGAAAACAAAACUGAGAUGCACGGAGGAAACGAGGAGGUGUGCAGAGAACACCGGAGGGUUUUCGGGGAGAAGGGGGCAGAGGUCAUCUCUGGUGACAGCGACCGAGAGCUCAAAAUGAGAAAAGGACUGAGUGGCCACUGGAGUUUGCAGAAUGGAGCCACGAGUGACCACCUCAGGAAGCUGGGUGGAGCGGUGGAAAUGGGCUGAAGAAUGAAUAGGACGUGAGAAAAUGGAAAGAGGGUUUCCGGCUGUAGAUUAGUCCAUGUCGGUCACACGGCCUGGCUCGGAGCCCAACGACGGCCUUUGAAACCUGCUGACCCCACCUUCCCAGAUGCGUCCCCGGAGGUAACUCACUCAACCCCUCACCUCCUUCAUUUCCUCCUCCAUGAAGCAGGGUGACAGAAGCUUUUCCCUCUUAGACUUGUUUUGAGGAUUAGAUCAGAUCAGCGUAAAAGGUUGACAACACAGCAGGGCCUUGAUAUACUUAAUAUACGCCACAUUUUUUUGUUUUGCUUUUUAAGGCCGCACCCAAGGCAUACGGAGGGUCCCAGGUGAGGGGUCCAACUGGAGCUGUAGCCGCCGGCCUACACCACAGCCACAGCAAUGAGGGAUCCGAGCCGCGUCUGCAACCUCCACCUCAGCUCACGGCAACGGCGGAUCCUUAACCCACUGAGCGAGGCCAGCGAUCGAACCUGCGUCCUCAGGGAUGCUAGUUAGAUUCGUUUUGGCUGAGCCAUGAUAGGAACUCUGCGCCAGUUAUUAUAAUCAUAGAAAAAGGACAAAAAUCCUUCCACUUUUUUUGAGUAAACUCCAAAUGCCUUGUGGUAUCAAAAUUUUUCGGCUUUAAAAUUCGCAGGUGAGACAGAGCGUUUCAAGGAUUCUGGUGUGACAGAGCUGCAAGGAUUCUGUGUGGGUGGAAGCAGCCCAGCUAUGGAGCGUCUGAAUCACUGUUCUGGACCCUGGCCAGCUGACCACAGGGCUGCGGAGUGCCCCCCCGCCCCCCAAUCCCCAGAGCAGACAGAGCCAGUCUCGAGAGGGAAGGUCGAGGAGAGCCUGUCAUCGUGGACAUGACUCAGCAGCACUGCCUUGGCUUCUGAUGACUUUCCAUUAUGAGGCUUGUGAAGCUCGGUCACGGGGCCACUUCGGGUGUCCUCAGUCCCUCUGUGCUCUUCUCUUGCUCAAAGCAGGCAGGGGUCUUAGUGUUUCAGAUGACAAGACCUCUGCGGUCUCAAAACUGCUCCAGCUCCUGGAAUCCAGACACCAUCAACCAGGAAGCUGGAGCCUGACUUCAGCGGCUUUCGAAUGCCUUCCCGAAACCUAUUAAAUACGGCAAGCUUUCAAAUUCGGGGCCAGCCAAAGAAGAAAAGCUUCGUCUGUAAACAUUUCAUAAAACGAACUACUUUUACAAUCAAGAAAGAGAAAAACCUCUUGUCUGGGCCAAGUGUGCAAACUCAGCAGGGAAGGAAGGGUAGAGUCCGGAUGACAGAGGACCAGAAGCUUCUAAAACGACGGGAUGAGAUCAGCAAGCACCAAGCUGGGAUCAGACCUGUCACCAGCAGAGGUCAGUGCCCCUGUGUUACGGCCAGUAAAUGUCCAAGGGACCCAGCAGAGCCUCACGGGGAGGCCGCUCUCAAAGCUAAGUGAACAGGGGGACACCUUCAAAGGCUCCACAGAUACACAGGAAGACAGUCUCCCUGAAGCAUGUGACAACGGUGCGUCUCAACCUUUUUUUCACGGUUCCCUGGUCCCCGCCCUUCCGUACAUUUUCACCCAACAGUCCCACCCCCAGGACACUUGACUACGACAGAUACGCUGCACAUCUGUUCCAGGGCCCUUUGGAGAGCCACGAACCGCUGUCACAGCUAUGAUUUUUGUCCCCUGACGAGAACCAAUCUUUGCUCACUUCGGGGAACUCUACUCCAGUUGGGAAUGAGUUUGAGUGAAAGCACAUUUUUGGUUUCGUUUGUUAGUUUAUGUAGAGUGGUUGCUGGAUGCCGUAGGACAUAUUUUCAAGCUGGAAGGAAAAGCACAAGUUCACUAAAUGCUGGCCUUUGUUUUCAGAGAAAACCCACAAUGACAACAACAACAAACAAGCAACACUCCCCAAAAAGGAGCAUUAUCCAAGAAUACAGAAUUGGGCCUAAAAUCCCAAGAUUUUUUUUUCUCUUUUUAGGGCCACACCUGCGGUGUGUGGAGGUUCCCAGGCUAGGGGUCGAAUCAGAGCUACAGGUGCUGGCCUACACCACAGCCACAGCACCACCGGAUCCUUAACCCACUGAGCGAGGCGAGGGAUCCAACUCACAUCCUCACGGACACUGUUUCAAGUUCUUAACCUACUGAGCCACAACGGGAACUCUUAAAGUUCUAAAGAUUUUUGCGUGAAAAACAAUGCUCUCCCUCUCCCUUUUACUCCUUACCCCCACUUCUUAUUUAUUCCUGACCAGUGCAGACUAGGCUGACAUCCUGCUAGAAAAAUGAGUUUGGGGGCUAGUUCUGAGCAGAUUACCCUUUGGGAAAUGCCUUGCAGGUGAAGCAUGAACAGCUUGGACAGAAAGGCUGGGAUGCAGGGGAGCAGGCAGAUGGUGAGGAAGAGGCGGGAGAGGCCGUCUUCCAGACCGAGGAAGCGGGAUGGACCAACCACACCCAGUUACUGACAGCCUGAAAUAACUAGAGAGC
ensembl:lncRNA